AUUGAACGCUGGCGGCAUGCUUUACACAUGCAAGUCGAACGGUAACAGGCCGCCAGGUGCUGACGAGUGGCGUACGGGUGCGUAAUGCAUCGGAACGUUCCCAGUCCUGGGGGAUAACUACUCGAAAGAGUAGCUAAUACCGCAUACGAUCUAUGGAUGAGAGCGGGGGACCGUAAGGCCUCGCGCGAUUGGUGCGGCCGAUGUCGGAUUAGGUAGUUGGUGGGGUAAAGGCUCACCAAGCCAACGAUCUGUAGCUGGUCUGCGAGGAGGACCCGCCACACUGGGACUGAGACACGGCCCAGACUACUACGGGAGGCAGCAGUGGGGAAUAUUGGACAAUGGGCGGAAGCCUGAUCCAGCAAUGCCGCGUGGAGGAAGAAGGCCUUCGGGUUGUAAACUGCUUUUGUACGGAACGAAACGGCUCUGGUUAAUACGCGGGGCUAAUGACGGUACCGGAAGAAUAAGCACCGGCUAACUACGUG
rnacentral:rRNA from 1 species